rnacentral:rRNA from 1 species
UAGUCAUAUGCUUGUCCCAAAGAUUAAGCCAUGCAUGUCUAAGUAUAAACACUUGUACUGUGAAACUGCGAAUGGCUCAUUAAAUCAGUUAUAAUUUACUUGACAAUCACUUUACUAUGGAUAACUGUGGUAAUUCUAGAGCUAAUACAUGGAAAGGGCCCGACUUCGGGAGGGCCGUAUUUAUUAGAUACAAAGCUGAUGGUCUUCGGACGUAGGUGAUUCAUGAUAACUAUGCAGAUCGCAAGGCGCAAGCCGGCGACUCGUCAAUCAAAUUU